rnacentral:rRNA from 1 species
AACGUACGCUGGCGGCACGCCUAACACAUGCAAGUCGAACGAAGUAGCAAUACUUAGUGGCAGACGGGUGAGUAACAUGUAGGUAUCUGCCCUUUGGCCUGGAAUAACACGAGGAAACUUGUGCUAAUACCGGAUAAGUCUUUACGGAGAAAGCUUUAUGCACCAUUGGAUGAGCCUGCACUUGAUUAGUUUGUUGGUGGGGUAAUGGCCUACCAAGACUGUGAUCAAUAGCUGAUUUGAGAGGAUGAUCAGCCACAUUGGGACUGAGACACGGCCCAAACUCCUACGGGAGGCAGCAGUGGGGAAUCUUGCACAAUGGAGGAAACUCUGAUGCAGCGAUGCCGCGUGAGUGAAGAAGGCCCUUGGGUUGUAAAGCUCUUUCGUCGGGGAAGAAAAUGACUGUACCCGAAUAAGAAGGUCCGGCUAACUUCGUGCCAGCAGCCGCGGUAAUACGAAGGGACCUAGCGUAGUUCGGAAUUACUGGGCUUAAAGAGUUCGUAGGUGGUUGAAAAAGUUAGUGGUGAAAUCCCAGAGCUUAACUCUGGAACUGCCAUUAAAACUUUUCAGCUAGAGUAUGAUAGAGGAAAGCAGAAUUUCUAGUGUAGAGGUGAAAUUCGUAGAUAUUAGAAAGAAUACCAAUUGCGAAGGCAGCUUUCUGGAUCAUUACUGACACUGAGGAACGAAAGCAUGGGUAGCGAAGAGGAUUAGAUACCCUCGUAGUCCAUGCCGUAAACGAUGUGUGUUAGACGUUGGAAAUUUAUUUUCAGUGUCGCAGGGAAACCGAUAAACACACCGCCUGGGGAGUACGACCGCAAGGUUAAAACUCAAAUGAAUUGACGGGGACCCGCACAAGUAGUGGAGCAUGUGGUUUAAUUCGAAGAUACGCGCAGAACCUUACCAACACUUGACAUGUUCGUCGCGACUCUAAGAGAUUAGAGUUUUCGGUUCGGCCGGACGAAACACAGGUGCUGCAUGGCUGUCGUCAGCUCGUGUCGUGAGAUGUUGGGUUAAGUCCCGCAACGAGCGCAACCCUCACUUUUAGUUGCCAUCAUUAAGUUGGGCACUCUGAAAGAACUGCCAGUGAUAAGCUGGAGGAAGGUGGGGAUGACGUCAAGUCCUCAUGGCCCUUACGUGUUGGGCUACACACGUGCUACAAUGGUAUCUACAACAGGAAGCAAGACUGCGAAGUUAAGCAAAUCCCUAAAAGAUACCUCAGUUCGGAUUGCACUCUGCAACUCGAGUGCAUGAAGCUGGAAUUACUAGUAAUCGUGAAUCAGCGUGCCACGGUGAAAUGCGUUCCCGGGUCU